rnacentral:rRNA from 1 species
GACGAACGCUGGCGGCGUGCUUAACACAUGCAAGUCGAACGGAAAGGCCCCCUUGUGGGGUACUCGAGUGGCGAACGGGUGAGUAACACGUGAGUAACCUACCCUUGACUUUGGGAUAACUUCAGGAAACUGGGGCUAAUACCGGAUAGGAGCUCCUGCUGCAUGGUGGGGGUUGGAAAGUUUCGGCGGUUGGGGAUGGACUCGCGGCUUAUCAGCUUGUUGGGGGGGUAGUGGCUCACCAAGGCUUUGACGGGUAGCCGGCCUGAGAGGGUGACCGGCCACAUGGGGACUGAGAUACGGCCCAGACUCCUACGGGAGGCAGCAGUGGGGAAUAUUGCACAAUGGGCGGAAGCCUGAUGCAGCAACGCCGCGUGCGGGAUGACGGCCUUCGGGUUGUAAACCGCUUUCGCCUGUGACGAAGCGUGAGUGACGGUAAUGGGUAAAGAAGCACCGGCUAACUACGUG